AGAGUUUGAUCCUGGCUCAGGACGAACGCUGGCGGCACGCUUAACACAUGCAAGUCGAACGAGAGAAGAGGAGCUUGCUUUUCUGAUCUAGUGGCGGACGGGUGAGUAACACGUGAGCAAUCUGCCCUUCAGAGGGGGAUACCGAUUGGAAACGAUCGUUAAUACCGCAUAACAUAAUUGAACCGCAUGAUUUGAUUAUCAAAGAUUUAUCGCUGAAAGAUGAGCUCGCGUCUGAUUAGCUAGUUGGUAAGGUAACGGCUUACCAAGGCGACGAUCAGUAGCCGGACUGAGAGGUUGAUCGGCCACAUUGGGACUGAGACACGGCCCAGACUCCUACGGGAGGCAGCAGUGGGGAAUAUUGCACAAUGGAGGAAACUCUGAUGCAGCGAUGCCGCGUGAGGGAAGAAGGUUUUAGGAUUGUAAACCUCUGUCUUCAGGGACGAAAAAAGACGGUACCUGAGGAGGAAGCUCCGGCUAACUACGUGCCAGCAGCCGCGGUAAUACGUAGGGAGCGAGCGUUGUCCGGAAUUACUGGGUGUAAAGGGAGCGUAGGCGGGAUCGCAAGUCAGAUGUGAAAACUAUGGGCUUAACCCAUAAACUGCAUUUGAAACUGUGGUUCUUGAGUGAAGUAGAGGUAAGCGGAAUUCCUAGUGUAGCGGUGAAAUGCGUAGAUAUUAGGAGGAACAUCAGUGGCGAAGGCGGCUUACUGGGCUUUAACUGACGCUGAGGCUCGAAAGCGUGGGGAGCAAACAGGAUUAGAUACCCUGGUAGUCCACGCCGUAAACGAUGAUUACUAGGUGUGGGGGGACUGACCCCUUCCGUGCCGCAGCAAACGCAAUAAGUAAUCCACCUGGGGAGUACGACCGCAAGGUUGAAACUCAAAGGAAUUGACGGGGGCCCGCACAAGCAGUGGAGUAUGUGGAUUAAUUCGAAGCAACGCGAAGAACCUUACCAGGUCUUGACAUCGUAUGCAUAGCUCAGAGAUGAGUGAAAUCUCUUCGGAGACAUAUAGACAGGUGGUGCAUGGUUGUCGUCAGCUCGUGUCGUGAGAUGUGGGGUUAAGUCCCGCAACGAGCGCAACCCUUACUGUUAGUUGCUACGCAAGAGCACUCUAGCAGGACUGCCGUUGACAAAACGGAGGAAGGUGGGGAUGACGUCAAAUCAUCAUGCCCCUUAUGACCUGGGCCUCACACGUACUACAAUGGCUGUCAACAGAGGGAAGCAAAGCCGCGAGGUGGAGCGAACCCCUAAAAGCAGUCUUAGUUCGGAUUGUAGGCUGCAACCCGCCUACAUGAAGUCGGAAUUGCUAGUAAUCGCAGAUCAGCAUGCUGCGGUGAAUACGUUCCCGGGCCUUGUACACACCGCCCGUCACGCCAUGGGAGUCGGUAACACCCGAAGCCUGUAGUCUAACCGCAAGGAGGACGCAGUCGAAGGUGGGAUUGAUGACUGGGGUGAAGUCGUAACAAGGUA
rnacentral:rRNA from 1 species